rnacentral:sRNA from 1 species
GACGUAAAAAAAAAUAAUAAUGGCGAACACCAAUAGCGAACCUAUUAAUAUUGCAUUGGUACUGGAUGUGAUUUUUUAAGUUUACACUUUAAUUUUCAUACAAUUUUCAAAAGGUUUCUAAAAAAAAAUUGUCUAUGGAUUACUGAUGUGAAGUGAACGGCUACAACCAAGUCAAAGCAGAUAGUCAGCAGGAUGACUUCAAACAAUUAUCAACAAUAGACUUCCUCCGGUGCCCAACAGAAAGUCAAGAAAAAGAAAAGCAAAAUGGCAAUCUGUUCAAGAUGUCCUUCCAUUUUUUUCUUCUACAGUAGGGGUUCUUAGCCUGUGAGUUGGGACCCCCUUGGUGGUCGAAUGACAAUUUGCCAAGGGUCGCCUAAGACCAUCAUAAUUAUGUUUUUUUAAUAUUUUUGUUUUGUGUCUCGACUCUAUUCUAACUUGUUAAACUUAGCAUUGUACGAAGUUUUCCAUUGAAAGUUCAUAUUUUUUGUUGUUAUUAUUGAAGGAUAGACAAAUAAAUAAAAAUGAUUUCAAACAUAUUAAUUGUCGCAGCAUAUAUAAUUUAAUUUAAGCAUAGAGCAACGAUGCGGAAUCAUAGUUAUUAUUUGUAUGGUAACGUAAUGGCGAAAGUGAACAGAGAUUAUAGUUUAUUAUAGGUGGUUAUAGUUAUAGUUAUUUUAGGUAAUUAUAAUAGUCCAUGUUAUUAAAAUUGAAAUACUUUCAUCAGGGAAGAACCCAUGGAAAUUGAACAUUAAAAACAGAAAAUAUUACGUUGAUUUAUUUACGGUUUAGUUUUACUUCAAUAGUAUGAGCAGGAAUUUAAAAGUUCCUGUGUAUCAUUUGUAAAGAAGUUCUAUAAUAUGAAUAUGAUGGAUAUUCAAAAGACGAGUUUCUCUUUUGCAAACCACUUGAAACGACUACAACACAAGAUGUAUAACAGAAAGUUGAUUCAUUUUUGGAAAAGUAGAAAAUAUCAUUUAAAACUAAUAGUGAUGUUUGUACAGAUGGUACAGGAAGUUUGGCAGUAUGAUGGUCUAGAUUUCAACUUCUUCUACUGAAUAAGUCACUGGAGCUCACGAAAUUGACGAAUUUUAGUAACGAAGACCCAGCCCAAGAAUUACAAAAAGCAAUGAAUAACUUCACUACAAGGACCAAAUGCAACAUGCCUUGAAUUGUCUGGAAAUGAUCCGAUCCUUCCGAAUGAAAUUUCAAAUGGAUAAACAAACAGUCACGAAAAUAAUAUUUCCAUGUUGGCAAAUUUAUCUACUCGAAGAGGAAAAUGACAUUGAACCUGAUCAACGAAUGAUAAUUUGUGAAAGAACAUUUAGUGAAUGCUUGCGGAGGAAAUUUCAUCAUUCUUUCCAAACCUGACACAACUUGUCAGAAGUCCACUCACAGUCAAUGUUGAAGAUAACGCGGAGACGGAGUUUAUUGAACUCAUUAAUAACGAUGCAGCGAAAAAUGAUUUCAUUUUAAUGUCAGUAACACAAAUCUGGAUUUGGUGUUUGCAUCCAAUUGGUCUGUAUUGCAUCCUCAUCUUUAAUUUUCAAUAAUAUAUGUUUGGGUAACAUGGGUUUUCCAGCGUGUUAGUUAUUUAGUAUAGUUAAAUACAGAAGAAGACUUGAUCCAGAAGAUGACAUACUUUUUGAUCUUGCAAAGACCUUCCUAGAAUUCCUAAUUUGGUGAAGCAGAAACAAUGUUGCAACAAUAGUAGUGAUGUCGUUUACUAUUACCCUGAUCACUGUCCACACUUUUCCAUGCUUUUGAAAUUGUCUGAUACGUAUGGAACAUGGAUAUGGUGAAUACCAAAUUAGAAAAAAAUAAAUGCACGCCAUAAAAUUGUAUUUAUUUUGAACUUAAUUCUAUGAAGAAAUAUAUUUUAAGAGUAUACGGCAAUUACAUAUUGCUUUGUAUAUAAACAUAAAAUUUUGACAAUAAAUCCACAUUUGUAUUGCGUUUUAUACCGUUAGCAAAAGCACAGUUACUUAAUUACUUAAUAAUUUUACUGUUGGGGGUCGUCACAUAGUUGGGAAUAGUAAUAAGGGGUCUCGAGCUAAAAAGGUUGAGAACCACUGUUCUACAGUGUCAUUUGUACCUGUCACUUAUUUUUGUAGCUAAGUUCAGGGUGUCAAUGUUUUCAAAGCUUGAUAAGUGUUCUUCCCAUUUCUCACCAACACUAUCACACAGGGUGUUUGGGCUUUGUCCAUCUUACAGUAGCCUUGAUGACAAGCAGUUCCUUGGUCAGUGUAACAUUUUAGUUUUAAUGUAGGGUUCAAAUUUCUUCACAUAGUAAUGGUAUUUCACUCAAGUUAUUUGUGGCAAAUAAAGAAUCAGAAUUAUGAAGCACAAGUAAGGUAUCUUACUAAAGAGUUUCUUUUUCACUAUGGUGGCUGUACCCAGUGAUGUUCACACCAGCUUUUUUUCUCAAACUUAGGAAUACAAAAAAAUCCUUCAUCUCUUUAUUUUUUUCCUCUUUUCAUGGUACCUUUUAUAGUUUAUUUUAUAUUUCUAUCUAGUUGUAAAGCUUGGCAAACUCAUGGACUAAUAAUGAAGUUUACUUAGCAUUUUUUUUUGUUUAUAAUUACAUGAAGUGUACCUUCUAAAAUUAUAUGAGUUAUGUACCUUUGUAAUGCUUAAUAUAAUAUAUAUACUGCUUACAAAUCCUAGUAGUGUAGAAAAUAUCUUAAAAUAUGAUUUCUUUUUCUAGUCCUAAAUUAAAAUAAUAUAAAAAGGAAAAGAAAAGUAAGGAAGUUAUAUAGAGAAAGAUCAUGAAAAAGUGACCUACAGAGUUAAUUAUCUUGGUUACAUUCCAUUUUAGUUUUUUUCAUAUUCUUAAUGAUUUCCUGUAAAUCCCAACUCAUCACUUAAGAUAGCCAACUUAUCAGAUAGGUAGUAAAACCUAACUCAUCACAUUGUUUUUAUGUCUUGAAAAUGGUUUUUCAUUUCUUUCACUAAGUUAAAGAAGCAAGAACACUUAACAUCAAUGAAAGCAUCUAUACAUUGUGUGUGGUAUAGAGUAAACAACAUGGACAUUUUGUGUGUGUGAGGUCAAUGUCUCUUUAAAAAGUCCUUGCAAGACAAAUAUUCCCACUCACUGAAAGCUAAAGUUUAGUAAUUAAUAAUAAUAAUAAGGCUAUUUUCUUUCAUUCUGUCUGAAUGAAAUAUAUUUAGACUUAGUGGCAAGCAAUUUUUAUAUAAUCAUAAUUUACUGAAUAAAAUAACUGAUGUGGUUGUAGUAUGCUUGAUUGUUAAGCUGAAUGUUAUGUGUUCAAAUCCUGUUAGGUGGAUUAUUAUUAUGACAAACAAUGGUGACCGACUGGUCGGCUACAUGUUGUUUUUUCUACUUUGUCAAGCUGAACAUUUCAAAUCAAGCAACCCUUUGCAUAUUUAACACGUUUUUUUUGUGUCUAUCUACAAUUCCUCAAGAAAAUAAAAAAGGAAUGAA